rnacentral:ncRNA from 1 species
CAAAGGCUUGGUCCUGACUUUACUAUCUGCUUUAACUAAACUUACACAUGCAAGUCUCCGCACCCCCGUGAAGAUGCCCUUAAUCCCCUGCCCGGGGACGAGGAGCGGGUAUCAGGCACGCACCGCAGCCCAAGACACCUUGCUAAGCCACAUCCCCAAGGACACUCAGCAGUGAUAAAUAUUAAAUUAUAAGCGAAAGCUUGACUUAGUUAUAGUUAAGAGAGCCGGUAAAACUCGUGCCAGCCACCGCGGUUAUACGAGAGGCCCUAGUUGAUAGCCGUCGGCGUAAAGAGUGGUUAAGGAAUUUAAAUUUAUAAAGUUGAAUAACCCUUUAGCUGUUAUACGCACCUUGGGCUAUGAAAUUCUUCCGCGAAAGCAGCUUUAUGCCCCUGAACCCACGACAGUUAUGACACAAACUGGGAUUAGAUACCCCACUAUGCAUAACUAUAAACUUUGAUAAAAACUUACAUCUUACAUCCGCCAGGGAACUACAAGCGUAAGCUUAAAACCCAAAGGACUUGGCGGUGCCUCAGACCCACCUAGAGGAGCCUGUUCUAAAACCGAUAACCCCCGCUUAACCUCACCGCCCCUUGUUUUUCCCGCCUAUAUACCACCGUCGCCAGCUUACCCUGUGAAGGGCGCAUAGUAAGCGAAAUGGGCACAACCCAAAACGUCAGGUCGAGGUGUAGCGAAUGGGGCGGGAAGAAAUGGGCUACAUUCUCUAAUAGAGAAAACGAACUACGCUGUGAAACCAGCGUCUGAAGGUGGAUUUAGCAGUAGAUAGAAAAUAGAGUGUUCUAUCAAAAUAGGCUCUGAAGCACGCACACACCGCCCGUCACUCUCUCCUAGUCCAGUCUUUCCUAUAAUUAAAAAGUUAACAGGACAAAGGAGAGGCAAGUCGUAACAUGGUAAGUGUACCGGAAGGUGCACUUGGAAUAAC